rnacentral:rRNA from 1 species
UACGUAGGCAGCGAGCGUUGUUCGGAAUUACUGGGCGUAAAGAGUGUGUAGGCGGUGUCCUAAGUCUGGUGUGAAAUCUCCCGGCUCAACUGGGAGGGUGCGCCGGAAACUGGGAUGCUAGAGGAUGGGAGAGGUAAGCGGAAUUCCUGGUGUAGCGGUGAAAUGCGUAGAUAUCAGGAGGAACACCUGUGGUGUAGACAGCUUACUGGACCAUUUCUGACGCUGAGACACGAAAGCGUGGGUAGCAAACAGG